GGGCUCACACAAGCGGUGGAGGAUGUGGCUUAAUUCGAGGCUACGCGAAGAACCUUAUCCUGGUCUUGACAUGUUUGAGAAUCCUCCCGAAAGGGAGGGGUGCCCCUCGGGGAGCUCUUACACAGGUGCUGCAUGGCUGUCGUCAGCUCGUGUCGUGAGAUGUCGGGUUAAGUCCCUUAACGAGCGAAACCCUUGUCCCUAGUUGCCAGCGAGUUAUGUCGGGGACUCUAGGGAGACUGCCGGUGUUAAACCGGAGGAAGGUGGGGAUGACGUCAAGUCCUCAUGGCCUUUAUGACCAGGGCUGCACACGUCCUACAAUGGCGCGUACAAAGGGAAGCGAACUCGCGAGAGCAAGCAAAUCCCAAAAAGUGCGCCUUAGUUCGGAUUGCAGGCUGAAACCCGCCUGCAUGAAGUUGGAAUCGCUAGUAAUCGCGGGU
rnacentral:rRNA from 1 species